rnacentral:sRNA from 1 species
AGAGGCGGGUGUCCCCUUCCUCCCUCACUGCUCCACGUGCAUCCCUCCCUAAGCUGUGCGCUCCGUCGAAGAGGACGACCUUCCCCGAUAGAGGAGGACCGCUCUUCGGUCAAGGGUAUACGAGUAGCUGAGCUCCCCUGCUAGAACCUCCAAACAAGCUCUCAAGGUCCAUUUGUAGGAGAACGUAGGGUAGUCAAGCUUCCAAGACUCCAGACACAUCCAAAUGAGGCACUGCACGUGGCAGUCUGCCUUU